rnacentral:tRNA from 1 species
GGAGGGGUGGCCGAGUGGCUGAAGGCGCUCGCUUGGAAAGCGUGUAUGCGGGNAACCGUAUCGAGGGUUCGAAUCCCUCUCCCUCCGCCA